rnacentral:rRNA from 1 species
GUAGGGAAUAUUGGGCAAUGGAGGCAACUCUGACCCAGCCAUGCCGCGUGCAGGAUGACGGCCCUCUGGGUUGUAAACUGCUUUUAUACGGGAAGAAAAAAUACUACGUGUAGUAUACUGACGGUACCGUAAGAAUAAGGAUCGGCUAACUCCGUGCCAGCAGCCGCGGUAAUACGGAGGAUCCAAGCGUUGUCCGGAUUUAUUGGGUUUAAAGGGUGCGUAGGCGGAUCUUUAAGUCAGUGGUGAAAGCCUGCAGCUUAACUGUAGAAUUGCCAUUGAAACUGAAGAUCUUGAAUGUGGUUAACGUAGGCGGAAUGUAUCAUGUAGCGGUGAAAUGCUUAGAUAUGAUACAGAACACCGAUAGCGAAGGCAGCUUGCUGAACCAUUAUUGACGCUGAGGCACGAAAGCGUGGGGAGCGAACAGGAUUAGAUACCCUUGUAGUCC